GGGUAUGUAGGCAAACUGGUAACCCCACCAGACUGUAAAUCUGGCGCCUCGGCACUGUUGGUUCGACUCCAUCCAUGCCCACCA
rnacentral:tRNA from 1 species